AAUAGAUACCCGGGUAGUCCACGCCGUAAACGAUGAGUGCUAAGUGUUAGAGGGGUUUCCGCCCUUUAGUGCUGCAGCUAACGCAUUAAGCACUCCGCCUGGGGGAGUACGGCCGCAAGGCUGAAACUCAAAGGAAUUGACGGGGGCCCGCACAAGCGGUGGAGCAUGUGGUUUAAUUCAAAGCAACGCGAAGAACCUUACCAGGUCUUGACAUCCUCUGACACUCCUAGAGAUAGGAUUUUCCCCUUCGGGGGGACAGAGUGACAGGUGGUGCAUGGUUGUCGUCAGCUCGUGUCGUGAGAUGUUGGGUUAAGUCCCGCAACGAGCGCAACCCUUGACCUUAGUUGCCAGCAUUCAGUUGGGCACUCUAAGGUGACUGCCGGUGACAAACCGGAGGAAGGUGGGGAUGACGUCAAAUCAUCAUGCCCCUUAUGACCUGGGCUACACACGUGCUACAAUGGAUGGUACAAAGGGCUGCAAGACCGCGAGGUUUAGCCAAUCCCGAUAAAACCAUUCUCAGUUCGGAUUGCAGGCUG
rnacentral:rRNA from 1 species